UAAAUGUUGAUUUUUUAGUUAAGAUUGAUUUUGUCUUUUUUAAUUGGCUUUAAUUUGAUAAUUUUAUAUAUAAGUUUUAUUGCGGGUUGAUAGAUUAUCUAAAUGAUAAUUUUAUUUUUAUUUGUAGUUUUUGGUAUUGUAUUAUUUUGGAAACAAAGAUUCAGUUAAUUUAUUUUAGGAUUGUUAAAAAUUGUGCCAGCAUACGCGGUUACACAAUUAAUUCAAGUUAAUUUUUUUGGUUAAUAUUUAUUUUUUUUAUUGGAGAUUAAUUUGAUUUUGUUGGGUGAAAUCUUAAUUUUAAUUAAUAUUCUCUUGGUUUAAUAUUAUAUGAAAUUUAGAAUUUGAAACUAGGAUUAGAUACCCUAUUAUUCUAAAUGUAAAGUUUUGGCCAUGGUAUUAAUAGUUAUGAUCUUUAAAUUAAAAGAAUUUGGCGGUAAUUUAGUCCUUUCAGAGGAACCUGUCCUGUAAUCGAUGAUCCACGUUGGAUUUUACUUUAUUUUAUAGUUUAUAUAUCUCUGUCAUUGAAUGUUUUAUUAGAAUAUUUUCUUUAAUCAUUUAUUUGAAAAAUGUCAGGUCAAGGUGUAGCUAUAAUGAAGGUUGAGAUGGGUUACAUUUAAUUUAAUUUAUUGGAUAAUUAUUUUGUAAUAAUAAUUUGAAAAAGGAUUUGAAAGUAAUUUUUGUUAAUUUACAAUAAUGAUUUUGGCUCUAAAUUAUGCACACAUCGCCCGUCACUCUCGUUUUUAAAAUGAGAUAAGUCGUAACAAAGUAAUUCUACUGGAAAGUGGGGUUGGAAUUAUA
rnacentral:ncRNA from 1 species